AUUGAACGCUGGCGGCAUGCUUUACACAUGCAAGUCGAACGGUAACAGGCCUUCGGGCGCUGACGAGUGGCGAACGGGUGAGUAGUGCACCGGAACGUGCCCAGUCGUGGGGGAUAACUAUCCGAAAGGAUAGCUAAUACCGCAUACGAUCUGCGGAUGAAAGCGGGGGACCUUCGGGCCUCGCGCGAUUGGAGCGGCCGAUGUCAGAUUAGGUAGUUGGGGGGGUAAAGGCUCACCAAGCCAACGAUCUGUAGCUGGUCUGAGAGGACGACCAGCCACACUGGGACUGAGACACGGCCCAGACUCCUACGGGAGGCAGCAGUGGGGAAUUUUGGACAAUGGGCGCAAGCCUGAUCCAGCAAUGCCGCGUGCAGGAAGAAGGCCUUCGGGUUGUAAACUGCUUUUGUACGGAACGAAACGGCUCUGGUUAAUACCCGGGGCUAAUGACGGUACCGUAAGAAUAAGCACCGGCUAACUACGUGCCAGCCGCCGCGGUAAGAC
rnacentral:rRNA from 1 species